UCCUCUCCUCCUCAUCUUCUCUUUCUUUUUCUUAUUUUCAGUAAUACACUCUUCUCUCAGGCAGCCCAUGUGCCUCAGGGACAGAAGCUCCUCCCUACUCCAAUGGAGGGCCUGAUUGGUGCAGGGGCAUCUCAACUCUCCUGCUACUGGUUGCUUCAGGAGCCAGACCUAAUCCAAUCAUUGCAGAUGCCAGAAACAUGUUAAUGACCAUGCCACAUUCUAACUCCAAGAGCUCUGGUCUGAUGGGAACACAGGAGAACAUAGAGAUACAAGUCACACUAGGAGCACAACACAACUGCCACACCGCCUGUCAUCACAUCUACAUUCCAGAAGGGGAGAAGGAGGAAGCCAGGAGGAGGAAGGGCAUUGCCUACGUGAGAAAAAAGAAAGAAAAAGCUUUUUCAAAAAUCCUUAAGAGAUGUCCUAUUAUUUCUCUUUAGCCAUAUUUGUUACAUGAUCACCCUUAGUAGCAAGGGAAGUUGGGAAAUGUCGCUUUUUUGCUGGGCACAUGG